UGUGUUUUAUUUGUAUUCUUUCAUAUAUGUUUAAUUCAGUUUCUUCACAAAGGAAAAAUCCUGAGGUGCUUUUCCAUGGAAACCAAUGGGACUUCGAUGUUUGCUGCACAUGUCAGUACUGCACAGAAUUUUGUAGUGCCAGAAUCAAUCCAUAGGUUUUUGGGCCCUUGAGGAUAGUCACAGAAUGAUGCAUCUCAUUGCUGCAGCUCCCAGUGACCUGUUCUGGUUCUGUCUCCUGAUUAUCUCCCUAAAAAUCUGCGGAUGGCUGCUUCACCUCUUCAGUCACCAGGGACUGCUCAACCAUCAGUUUCCAGAGCAAUCUCAUCAUCAGUCCACUACGGUGGAGAGAGGAGUGCCAGAGAAUCAAGUAAAAGACAGUUUUAACUCCAGCUAAAAGAAGGAAAGUCAACCUGCAUGACAUUUAUUUAUCAACGCUGGACAAAAAGUGACAGAAAUGGUCAUAAGCAUGGAUAUUGCAGCCUUUACAUCUUUUGUCUCAUCUGAAUAUCCCGGACACCAAAGAAGAACUAGAGAGCCCCUGGGUGAAUGUUCUUUCUCAUACUGUGACUCUCAGGAUCUUGGCUGCAUGGAGACUCAGCUAGGAAAGAGAAGGAGGAUGAUCCAACCCUUGAAGAAGUUCACUCUUGGAGAUGUUGAAGACACAACUGCAUAAAACCAUAAGCAUCUGUGUUUGACCUCAAUAUGAUCCUGCUUUGAGCAGAACCUUGGACUGGAGACCUGCUGUAGUCCUAUCCAACCUGACCUAUCCUGUGAUGGUAAUUUCACAGAGGAGAGAGGACAAUCAUAAAAGGGAUCUUAAAAGUGGUUAUACUUUGUUAUGAAUGUAGAAAAUACAACUUUGCCUCCAAUAAUUAAAGCACAAGUUGUUUUACUGACCAUCCGGCCAUGGGAGUGUCAGACAUUAUCCACAGCAAAUUUUGCAAAAU